GACCAAGCCGGGAUCCAAUGGGUGG
rnacentral:piRNA from 1 species